GACGUAGGGUGCAAGCGUUUGUCCGGAUUUAUUGGGCGUAAAGAGCUCGUAGGCGGCUCGUCGCGUCGUCCGUGAAAACCCUAGGCUUAACCUGGGGCUUGCGGUCGAUACGGGCGGGCUAGAGUUCGGUAGGGGAGACUGGAAUUCCUGGUGUAGCGGUGAAAUGCGCAGAUAUCAGGAGGAACACCGGUGGCGAAGGCGGAUCUCUGGGCCAUUACUGACGCUGAGGAGCGAAAGCGUGGGUAGCAAACAGG
rnacentral:rRNA from 1 species